rnacentral:rRNA from 1 species
UACAGAGGUCUCAAGCGUUGUUCGGAUUCAUUGGGCGUAAAGGGUGCGUAGGUGGCGAGGUUAGUCAGGUGUGAAAUCUCGGGGCUCAACCCCGAAACUGCACUUGAUACUGCCUUGCUCGAGUACUGGAGAGGAGAUUGGAAUUUACGGUGUAGCAGUGAAAUGCGUAGAUAUCGUAAGGAAGACCAGUGGCGAAGGCGAAUCUCUGGACAGUUACUGACACUGAGGCACAAAGGCCAGGGGAGCAAACGGG